GUAGUCAUAUGCUUGUCUCAAAGAUUAAGCCAUGCAUGUCUAAGUAUAAGCAAUUAUACCGUGAAACUGCGAAUGGCUCAUUAAAUCAGUUAUCGUUUAUUUGAUAGUACCUUACUACUUGGAUACCUGUGGUAAUUCUAGAGCUAAUACAUGCUAAAAACCCCGACUUCGGAAGGGGUGUAUUUAUUAGAUAAAAAACCAAUGCCCUUCGGGGCUCCUUGGUGAUUCAUAAUAACUUCUCAGAUCGCAUGGCCUUGCGCCGGCGACGGUUCAUUCAAAUUUCUGCCCUAUCAACUUUCGAUGGUAAGGUAUUGGCUUACCAUGGUGGCAACGGGUAACGGGGAAU
rnacentral:rRNA from 1 species